UUGUGCCAGCCACCGCGGUCACACAAGAGACCCAAAUUAACUGUAUGCGGCGUAAAGAGUGGAACUAUGAUAUCGUAGCAGCUAGGAUCGAAAUACAGCUAAGCCGUCAUAAGCCCAAGAUGUACUUAAGAUCCCCAUUAAGAUGAUCCUAGUAUUCUUGAUUAAUUUUACUCCACGAAAGCUAGGACACAAACUGGGAUUAGAUACCCCAUUAUGCCUAGCCCUAAAUCUUGAUGUUUGCCGUACCAAAGCAUCCGCCUGAGAACUACGAGCACAAACGCUUAAAACUCUAAGGACUUGGCGGUGCUCCAAACCCACCUAGAGGAGCCUGUUCUGUAAUCGAUAACCCACGAUUCACCCAACCACUCCUUGCCAAAGCAGCCUACAUACCGCCGUCGCCAGCUCACCUUCACUGAGAGCUAAACAGUGAGCACAAUAGCCUAACUCGCUAGCAAGACAGGUCAAGGUAUAGCCUAUGGAGUGGAAGAAAUGGGCUACAUUUUCUAUAAUAGAAACCCACGAAAGGGGGUAUGAAACAGCCCCCGGAAGGUGGAUUUAGCAGUAAAGUGGGACAAUAGAGCCCUCUUUAAGUUGGCCCUGGAGCACGUACAUACCGCCCGUCACCCUCCUCACAAGCCACUAACUAUCAUAACUAAUAACCCUUAUGGCUGAAGAUGAGGAAAGUCGUAACAAGGUAAGUG
rnacentral:rRNA from 1 species